AAGCGAUCCUUCUGCCUCAGCGUCCUGAUAGCUGAGAGUAUAGGUAUGCACCACCAUGCUUGGCUAAUUAAAAAAAAAAAAAUUUAUAGAGACAGGGGGUCUCACUAUUUUUGCCCAGGCUAGUUCAAAACAUUUUCUUGAAACAAAACCUUAUGUAGCCCCUGCUCUCUCCAACCCUCCCGCAACAGCCAGUCUUCCCCUCCCAGGCGCUGCUCCUGGAGCUCAAUCAGCAACUCCGUCUCCAAGCUUUAUGUUUCCCAUUAGAUUUCUCCUAAUUUUCUUGUCCUUUACAACCUGACAGU
rnacentral:lncRNA from 1 species